ACAACAUUCGGACCGGCGGUCUACCGAGCUCACUCGCUCGGUGGAAGAUCUUCCUUUCGUCGU
rnacentral:pre_miRNA from 1 species